CCUGGUGGCUAUAGCGUCGGUGCGAUCCCAUUCCGAACUCGGCCGUGAAACCCGACUGCGCCAAUGGUACUAUCGCUCAAGCGAUGGAAGAGUAGGUCGUCGCCAGGC
rnacentral:rRNA from 1 species